GCAAAUCCUGCUGCUCUGAGUUUGGAUUUGACACUAAAAGGAAGCCUGGAGACAAUGGACAAAACAGUAGAAGAAAGGGAAUGAUAACUCACUGUGUUUUGCAAUGUGGCUUCCAGGAACCAGCUGCUAUAGAAACAAAGGCUAAGCACGAAAGCCUUGACCUAAAGCCUCGUGAAAGGAUAAUGAGCAGUUGGCUGUGGUUUCUCAUCUAUUGGGGAUGCCCUACUCUGGAAACCUCCACCCCCUUCUCCUAUGCCAUAUGGUUGACUCAUCGUGAUGUGGCCUUCACCCAUAGGGAGACAAGCCAACACCCCCGGUGGAAAAAUAGACUCAGGUCAAAAGAACAAGGCAUGAGUGACAGGGUAGGAGGGGACACAUCUCCAGGCAGAGCAGGAAAAGAGUGGGAGACAUCCAGACCUCAUAAAGACCCAGUGCCUAGCUUCUGCACAGUGGUGGCUUCCUGUCGGGACCCUUGCCAGAGCAUCCCCAAGGAGAUUCUGAAAAGUAAAGAAAAGUCAGUAUUUAUCGUCGUCGUCAUCAUCAUCAUCAUCAUCAUCAAAAGAAAAAGAGAACUGGAGGCAUAAACAUCUCAUUAAAAAUCCCUUUUAUCUGGAUUUCUGCAUGUGUUCUUUUAAAAUUAAUAGGGGCAGUGAAGAACUUAAACCAGUGUGCUGACUCUUUCACAGAGAUAAGACCCAGGCCAGACGAGGAAAUGGGCGCGUGUCCUUACCAAUGAGGUAACAAUUCAUCCAAAGCAUGUCACUGAACGUCAAAGGAAGAGGUCAGACAGUGUUGUUUGAGGUCACAGGACAGACUGGCUGACGGGAUUGAAUCAGUGGAAGGUCCUAUGCACUUGACUGAACAGCAAGUGUGAUGUGACAGGCUCCAUCUCCUCACAGAAGACUUAAAGGUCACGUUUGGUGAUCUCAACCUGAGGUGAGAGGGGAGGAAGAGCUGCUGGCUGAGUUACUGACAAGAAUGAAAUGUUUGGGGGGAAAAACCCAUAUAACAGUCUUCUAGCACCCAAAAGGACACCUUUGGUGGUUGUAGAGUUAAUCAGAGCUGGUGUCCUUGAACUAGUCAGUAUCACGGAGUUAAGGAAGAAGAUACUUAAAGGGACAUCAGCAACCAGAACCGUAUCUGCAAAAGCACUUUAGAUACAGCUCCUAGGAUGUGUGAAAUUAAAGAUGGAGGACGUCAAGAGCUGACGAGCAUGUGCAGCAACCAGGAAGGGGUACACACGUUUGAAAAGUAGUUUGGUGACGCUUAUGACGUUAAUACAUGCUCAUUAUGAAACAAUACUGCUAAUCCCAGUCUUCUACAUUCUUCUGCCUAUACACUUAGCAAAAACAUGUCUGAAAAAACAACCAACCAACCAACCAACUAACCAACCCACCAACCAACCAACUAACCAACCAACCGACCAACCAACCCACCAAUCAACCAACCAACCAACCAACCGACCAACCAACCCACCAAUCAACCAACCAACCAACCAACCAACCAACCAACCAACCAACCAACCAACCAACCAAACAAACAACCAAUCAAACAAAUCUACAGAAAGAUCUGUGCAUGGAAAUUCAAGUCAGCUUCUCAUAAUUCUAAGCCGCAAGUCACCCCACCCAGGGAAUGAAGCCAAGCAGUUACCAGAAGUACCAGAAAGCUUUGAGCAGUGACCAAUCCAGUCUGUCUGGCAUGCAGACAGCAAAUGCACGAGGCAAUUCUGGAGCUCUGUUAGAAGGACCCAGCUGCUUCCAUAUUACCAGUAACAGCCCAUUUCUGAGGGUGUGCAUGGGGCUUCAGUUCCUGAUUUUGACUUCUAAAGACAAGAUCUUGCUUCCCUGCUGAGGCUCCACCAUGACCCGGGUUUCAAGGAUCACUGGGACCCACCAUGGCUGCAGGUGAGGUGAGUGGGCUCUGGAAGGAGAGAGGUCAGGCAGAGCCGGUCCCAUCCCUGUGGUCCCAUCCCUGUGGUCCCAUCCCUGUGGCCCCAUCCCUGUGGUCCCAUCCCUGUGGCCCCAUCCCUGUGGCCCCAUCCCUGUGGCCCCAUCCCUGUGGUCCCAUCCCUGUGGCCCCAUCCCUGUGGUCCCAUCCCUGUGGUCCCAUCCCUGUGGUCCCAUCCCUGUGGCCCCAUCCCUGUGGCCCCAUCCCUGUGGUCCCAUCCCUGUGGUCCCAUCCCUGUGGCCCCAUCCCUGUGGCCCCAUCCCUGUGGUCCCAUCCCUGUGGCCCCAUCCCUGUGGCCCCAUCCCUGUGGCCCCAUCCCUGUGGUCCCAUCCCUGUGGCCCCAUCCCUGUGGUCCCAUCCCUGUGGUCCCAUCCCUGUGGCCCCAUCCCUGUGGUCCCAUCCCUGUGGCCCCAUCCCUGUGGCCCCAUCC